UGUCCGAGGGAUGGCUCAGUCGGUAGAGCGUGUGACUCUUCCUCUCAGGGUCGUGGGUUCAAGCCUCACAUUGGGCAA